CCAGACUCCUACGGGAGGCAGCAGUGAGGAAUAUUGGUCAAUGGUCGGGAGACUGAACCAGCCAAGCCGCGUGAGGGAUGAAGGUACAGAGUAUCGUAAACCUCUUUUGUCAGGGAACAAAGGCGGGGACGUGUCCCCGGAUGAGUGUACCUGAAGAAAAAGCAUCGGCUAACUCCGUGCCAGCAGCCGCGGUAAUACGGAGGAUGCGAGCGUUAUCCGGAUUUAUUGGGUUUAAAGGGUGCGUAGGCGGAACAUUAAGUCAGCGGUAAAAUCGAGGGGCUCAACCCCUUUAAGCCGUUGAAACUGGUGAUCUUGAGUGGGCGAGAAGUAUGCGGAAUGCGUGGUGUAGCGGUGAAAUGCAUAGAUAUCACGCAGAACUCCGAUUGCGAAGGCAGCAUACCGGCGCCCAACUGACGCUGAAGCACGAAAGCGUGGGUAUCGAACAGGAUUAGAUACCCUUGUA
rnacentral:rRNA from 1 species